rnacentral:rRNA from 1 species
GACGAACGCUGGCGGCGUGCUUAACACAUGCAAGUCGAACGGUGAUGCUCCAGCUUGCUGGAGUGGAUCAGUGGCGAACGGGUGAGUAACACGUGAGCAACCUGCCCCAGACUCUGGAAUGAGCGCUGGAAACGGCGUCUAAUACUGGAUACGAAACUGGCCCGCAUGGGCAUGGUUUGGAAAGUUUUUCGGUUUGGGAUGGGCUCGCGGCCUAUCAGCUUGUUGGUGAGGUAAUGGCUCACCAAGGCGACGACGGGUAGCCGGCCUGAGAGGGCGACCGGCCACACUGGGACUGAGACACGGCCCAGACUCCUACGGGAGGCAGCAGUGGGGAAUAUUGCACAAUGGGCGAAAGCCUGAUGCAGCGACGCCGCGUGAGGGAUGACGGCCUUCGGGUUGUAAACCUCUUUCAGCAGGGAAGAAGCGAAAGUGACGGUACCUGCAGAAGAAGCACCGGCUAACUACGUG